rnacentral:rRNA from 1 species
CUCGUAGGCGGCCAACUAAGUCAGACGUGAAAUCCCUCAGCUUAACUGGGGAACUGCGUCUGAUACUGGAUGGCUUGGAUUCGGGAGAGGAAUGCGGAAUUCCAGGUGUAGCGGUGAAAUGCGUAGAUAUCUGGAGGAACACCGGUGGCGAAGGCGGCAUUCUGGACCGACAUUGACGCUGAGGAGCGAAAGCCAGGGGAGCAAACG